GAUGAACGCUAGCGACAGGCUUAACACAUGCAAGUCGAGGGGCAGCACAGGUAGCAAUACCGGGUGGCGACCGGCGCACGGGUGAGUAACGCGUAUGCAACUUGCCUAUCAGAGGGGGAUAACCCGGCGAAAGUCGGACUGAUACCGCAUGAAGCAGGGAUCCCGCAUGGGAAUAUUUGCUAAAGAUUCAUCGCUGAUAGAUAGGCAUGCGUUCCAUUAGAUAGUAGGCGGGGUAACGGCCCACCUAGUCUUCGAUGGAUAGGGGUUCUGAGAGGAAGGUCCCCCACAUUGGAACUGAGACACGGUCCAAACUCCUACGGGAGGCAGCAGUGAGGAAUAUUGGUCAAUGGGCGAGAGCCUGAACCAGCCAAGUAGCGUGAAGGAUGACUGCCCUAUGGGUUGUAAACUUCUUUUAUAAAGGAAUAAAGUCGGGUAUGGAUACCCGUUUGCAUGUACUUUAUGAAUAAAGGAUCGGCUAACUCCGUGCCAGCAGCCG
rnacentral:rRNA from 1 species